rnacentral:rRNA from 1 species
GACGUAGGGCGCGAGCGUUGUCCGGAUUUAUUGGGCGUAAAGAGCUCGUAGGCGGCUUGUCGCGUCGUUCGUGAAAACCCGGGGCUUAACCCCUGGCUUGCAGUGGAUACGGACAGACUAGAGGUAGGUAGGGGAGAAUGGAAUUCCCGGUGUAGCGGUGAAAUGCGCAGAUAUCGGGAGGAACACCGGUGGCGAAGGCGGUUCUCUGGGCCUUACCUGACGCUGAGGAGCGAAAGCGUGGGGAGCGAACAGG